rnacentral:rRNA from 1 species
CAGACGAAAAAUGUACAGGAACCUUACCCAGGAUCUUAUCUAUAUAUUAAAUAUUAAUUAGUGUGCUUCAAUUUUUAUUGAAUUCAAUAUGAAUAUAUUAUAUUGAAUAUAAAAUAGAAAUUAUAAUAUAGCACCACCUGUGUUGUUCGGAGUAGAACUGCGAUAAAAGAGGAAAUAUGCAGAUAGCUAUAUCUACAAUGUGUUUAAUAAAUACAACCCUUCAUACACACUUCAAUUGUAUUUUAGGAAUUUCAUUAACAAAAGGGUACAUACGGGAGUCAGCAGUGGGGAAUAUUGGACAAUGGGGGAAACCCUGAUCCAACAAUGCCGCAUGUGAGAAGAAGGCCUACGGGUUGUAAAGCACUUUUAUCGGGGAAGAAUAGGUUGUCGUUAAUAGCGCCAACACUUGGCAUUACCCGUUGAAUAAGCACCGGCUAACUUCGUGCCAGCAGCCGCGGUAAUCCGGAGGGUGCGAGCGUUUAUUGGAAUUUCUGGGCGUAAAGGGUGCGUAGGCGGUGAUUCAAGUUUGAUGUGAAAACCCUGGGCUUAACCUGGGAAUGUCAUUUGAAACUGGGUUUCUUGAGUGUCGUAGAGGAAAGUGGAAUUUCCAGUGUAGCGGUGAAAUGCGUAGAUAUUGGGAAGAACCCCGAUGGCGAAGGCAGCUUUCUGGUCCAACACUGACGCUGAGGUACGAAAAGCCUGGGGAGCAAACAGGAUUAGAUACCCUGGUAGUCCACGCCCUAAACGAUGUCACCUUGUCGUUGGGGGAAUUUAUUCCCUCAGUGCCGGAGCUAACGCG